rnacentral:rRNA from 1 species
UACGUAGGGUGCAAGCGUUAAUCGGAAUUACUGGGCGUAAAGCGCACGUAGGCGGCGAUUCAAGUCAGAGGUGAAAGCCCGGGGCUCAACCCCGGAACUGCCUUUGAAACUAGAUUGCUAGAAUCCUGGAGAGGUGAGUGGAAUUCCGAGUGUAGAGGUGAAAUUCGUAGAUAUUCGGAAGAACACCAGUGGCGAAGGCGACUCACUGGACAGGUAUUGACGCUGAGGUGCGAAAGCGUGGGGAGCAAACAGG